rnacentral:rRNA from 1 species
CGAAAGGGGCGGUAAUACCAGAUAAUGUCCUUCGGGACCAAAGAUUUAUCGGCAUUGGAGCGGCCUAUCUCCUAUCAGCUUGUUGGUGAGGUAACGGCUCACCAAGGCAACGACGGGUAGCGGGACUGAGAGGUUGGCCCGCCACAUCGGGACUGAGACACUGCCCGGACCUCCACGGAGGGCUGCAGUAACGGAUAUUGGGCAAUGGGCGAAAGCCUGACCCAGCAAUGCCGCGUGCAGGAUGAAGCCCCUAGGGGUGUAAACUGCUGUCAGGGGUCAGAAAGCUGGUUUCGGCCAGUUGAUCAACCCCAGAGGAAGUCACGGCUAACUUCGUGCCAGCAGCCGCGGUAAUACGAAGGUGGCAAGCGUUAUUCGGAAUCAUUGGGCUUAAAGGGCACGCAGGCGGAACAGUGUGUGUUGUGUGAAAUCCCCCGGCUUAACCGGGGAAUUGCACAGCAAACUGCUGUUCUUGAGGCAGGUAGGGGUGCAUGGAACUCUUGGUGGAGCGGUGGAAUGCGUAGAUAUCAAGAGGAACGCCAGAGGUGAAGACGGUGCACUGGGCCUGUCCUGACGCUGAGGUGCGAAAGCGUGGGGAGCGAACGGGAUUAGAUACCCCGGUAGUCCACGCCGUAAACGAUGUCUACUAGGUCGUGGGUGUUCUGACACAUUCACGGCCGGAGCAAAAGUGUUUAGUAGACCGCCUGGGGAGUACGACCGCAAGGUUAAAACUCAAAUGAAUUGACGGGGGCUCACACAAGCGGUGGAGCAUGUGGAUUAAUUCGAAGCAACGCGCAGAACCUUACCUGGGUUUGACAUGCUUGGAUGCCUGCUCUGAAAGGAGUUAGGCUGCCUUCGGGUGAAACUUGCACAGCUGCUGCAUGGCUGUCGUCAGCUCGUGUCGUGAGAUGUCGGGUUAAGUCCUUUAACGAGCGAUACCCUAGCCGUUAGUUGCCAGCGAGUAAUGUCGGGGACUCUAACGGGACUGCCGGUGUUAAACCGGAGGAAGGUGGGGAUGACGUCAAGUCCUCAUGGCCUUUAUGCCCAGGGCUUCACACGUGCUACAAUGGCAAUUACAGAGCGACGCGAUACCGCGAGGUGGAGCAAAUCGCAAAAAAAUUGCCUCAGUUCGGAUUGCAGGCUGGCAAUUCGCCU